UCAGUCCGGACACUAUUUAGUGUUACACAACAAAAUGUUACGUGACUUUUUCGAAUCACUUUGAAAUUAGGAUUUUGCCCUGAGAUGACCAUUAUUUUUCAUGAUGUCGAGAUUAAGACGUGUUUUAUCUAGCUUGUCACACUUUUCUAUGUGUCAUGGGAUUGUGAUUGAUGGUGCCAAGACAACACAGAGAUUAAGUGCACACAACUUUUCCUUGACCUCUCAGAGGCUCAGCAAACCAAAGAAACCAGCAGAUGAGGAAGACGAGGAGCUAAAUCAACCCAUCAAGUUCUCCACCAGCAAAGCCAGUCAAAAGAUUUGGAAUGUAGACAAAUCUUUCGGAAGCCAGUAUCAGAGGCCGUGGUGGAAAGUCCUCCCGAUCAGUCUCUUAGGGGUGAGCUUACUGCUGUGGUGUGCACUGAGGAGCGAGACUGACAUUGACGAACAGCUUCAGAAGAACCUCUAUGAACAUUUACCUGGCUUACUCCCAGAUGAAGAGGUCAAAGGCAAAUCUAGCUAAUAUUGUGUUGAAAUAAUGUGUCUUAUUUAUUUUAGCUACAUUAGGCAAUGCCUGUUCCAUGCAUAAUUGCUUCAUGCUUCCAAUUCAGUGAGCACUGUGCAUAAAAGGCAUUACUGUUCUAGCCAUCCUCCAAUUGUGGUGGCUCAAUAAAUGUUAAAAACAAUUCUCACCCAAAUGUUUGAUGCCUAGAGGUGGAUUAAGUUCUAGGAUAAAAUUAAAUUAGGUUAACGAAGAUUAUAAUCUUCACAUUUUGUAAUGCAAUCUGACCUGUCAGGGAUUGUAGGACAUUAUGAUUUUUUCAUUUUUUUUAACUUGACAUGGUUUGAUAAUGAUGAGCCCAUUAAAGGUUAUAGGCACUACACUGAAAUAUCCAUGUAAA